AUGGGUCUGCUGCGGUUGAACUCUUGACCAGAUACUUUGAGGGUCAGCUAGCUUCAAUAUCAGAAGGUGAUGAUGAACUGGAUGUGGAGCCUUCAGAGUUACCAAGGCUGCUGAAAAUGUUAAUAGAAUUUGCUCCAUUCUACAUCAGUCAAAUCCUAGUUGAGAAUAUCUGUUUCUCCUCAUUCUCCUGAAUUGGUUAUUCUUGUAUUGUCUACUAGUUCCUAACACAAUUUCUAUAUAUGGUUGGAUCAGAGUGCUGUGACUGGUGAGCGAGCACACAUGUAUGCUUUCGAAACCAUUAACAUUAAGCAACGACACGUUUGAAGUUGAUGAGUCGGAUGAACUGGGCUUCUUCGUCCCCUUCCAUAAAGUACUAUUUUAGGUUGACAACUUUUCCUGGUGCGGUUUUAUCGUGUUGAUAAUAUGAUCAACUUCCUGGAGGUUGAUUCUUGGGGGAAUUCAUCAGAUGGAUUUUUGAAGAAACUCGCCCGUGUGCUUUCACCUUAUGAUAUGGUUUGACUCAGAGGGUAGACUUCGUUGCCAAACUUCGUUGACUUCAAUCUGGUCUAUGACAUCUGCAAAACUCUAGCUCAUCAUUAUUUUCAAGAGAAGCUCCUUGUCUCGCUGUCAUAUGUUCAAGCAUCUGUACUCCUGUGUUUAGGCUUGCUAGAGUAGUCUGAUUUCUCGAACAUCGAGAGACAAAUGCAGAUAGAGAGGGGGCAAAUACACUCUCUUCUAUUGAAGGUUGGAAAGAAGUUAUACUGAAUGAAAUUGCAACAAAAGAGAUAGAAUCCAACAAAAGUUUAGAUGGGGAAAACUAACAAAAUUUUGCUCGAUCGAUCAUAAUAUUCUCCCUCAUUUUUGGAAAUUAAUAAGUACAUACAUGAAUGUCUUAUUUAUGGUUGAAAUGAUUCA